rnacentral:rRNA from 1 species
UACGGAGGGAGCUAGCGUUGUUCGGAUAUACUGGGCGUAAAGCGCACGUAGGCGGCGCAGUAAGUCAGGGGUGAAAUCCCGGGGCUCAACCCCGGAACUGCCCUUGAAACUGCAGUGCUAGAAUCUUGGAGAGGCGAGUGGAAUUCCGAGUGUAGAGGUGAAAUUCGUAGAUAUUCGGAAGAACACCAGUGGCGAAGGCGGCAUCCUGGACCGGUAUUGACGCUGAGGCGCGAAAAGCUAGGGGGAGCAAACGGGG